rnacentral:rRNA from 1 species
UCGCUCAACGGAUAAAAGGUACUCCGGGGAUAACAGGCUGAUACCGCCCAAGAGUUCAUAUCGACGGCGGUGUUUGGCACCUCGAUGUCGGCUCAUCACAUCCUGGGGCUGAAGUAGGUCCCAAGGGGAUGGCUGUUCGCCAUUUAAAGUGGUACGCGAGCUGGGUUUAGAACGUCGUGAGACAGUUCGGUCCCUAUCUGCCGUGGGCGCUGGAGAACUGAGGGGGGCUGCUCCUAGUACGAGAGGACCGGAGUGGACGCAUCACUGGUGUUCGGGUUGUCAUGCCAAUGGCACUGCCCGGUAGCUAAAUGCGGAAGAGAUAAGUGCUGAAAGCAUCUAAGCACGAAACUUGCCCCGAGAUGAGUUCUCCCUGACUCCUUGAGAGUCCUGAAGGAACGUUGAAGACGACGACGUUGAUAGGCCGGGUGUGUAAGCGCAGCGAUGCGUUGAGCUAACCGGUACUAAUGAACCGUGAGGCUUAACCUUACAACGCCGAAGCUGUU